UCAGGACGAACGCUGGCGGCGUGCCUAAUACAUGCAAGUAGAACGCUGAAGGAAGGAGCUUGCUUCUUCUGGAUGAGUUGCGAACGGGUGAGUAACGCGUAGGUAACCUGCCUGAUAGCGGGGGAUAACUAUUGGAAACGAUAGCUAAUACCGCAUAAGAGGUAAUAACACAUGUUAUUAGUUUAAAAGGGGCAAUUGCUCCACUAUCAGAUGGACCUGCGUUGUAUUAGNUAGUUGGUAAGGUAACGGCUUACCAAGGCGACGAUACAUAGCCGACCUGAGAGGGUGAUCGNCCACACUGGGACUGAGACACGGCCCAGACUCCUACGGGAGGCAGCAGUAGGGAAUCUUCGGCAAUGGGGGCAACCCUGACCGAGCAACGCCGCGUGAGUGAAGAAGGUUUUCGGAUCGUAAAGCUCUGUUGUAAGAGAAGAACGGAUGUGGGAGUGGAAAAUCCAUGUCGUGACGGUAUCUUACCAGAAAGGGACGGCUAACUACGUGCCAGCAGCCGCGGUAAUACGUAGGUCCCGAGCGUUGUCCGGAUUUAUUGGGCGUAAAGCGAGCGCAGGCGGUUUCAUAAGUCUGAAGUUAAAGGCAGUGGCUUAACCAUUGUACGCUUUGGAAAUCUGUGAGACUUGAGUGCAGAAGGGGACGANGUGGAAUUCCAUGUGUACGCGGUGAAAUGCGUACGAUAUAUGGAGGAACUCCAGUGGCGAAAGCGGCUCCUCUGGUACUGUAACUGACCGCUAGGCUC
rnacentral:rRNA from 1 species